rnacentral:rRNA from 1 species
GACGAACGCUGGCGGCGUGCUUAACACAUGCAAGUCGAGCGGAGCGGCGAACGGGGGAGUAACGGGUGAGUAACUGCCCCCCUCUCUGGGAUAACAGUUGGAAACGGCUGCUAAUACCGGAUAGUGGGGGAUGACUCGCGUCCUAUGGGAUUGUUGGUGGGGUAGUGGCCUACCAAGGCGACGACGGGUAGCCGGCCUGAGAGGGCGACCGGCCACCAUGGGCUGAGAUACGGCCCAAGCUCCUACGGGGGGCAGCAGUGGGGAGUAUGACACAGUGGGGGAAACCCUGAGGCAGCAACGCCGCGUGCGGAAUGCCGGCCUUCGGGUUGUAAACCGCUUUCAGCCAUGACGCGGUAGUGGCAGAAGAAGCACCGGCUAACUACGUGCCAGCAGCCGCGGUAAUAC